rnacentral:lncRNA from 1 species
UGGCAGAAGUGUGAAGUAGCUGAUCGUGUUGAAUCUGCAGUCAGGAUGAAGAGAGCAAUGAGUGCCAAUGUUCACCUCGCUUCCGUGCUCCCCUCACUUCCGGUAAUGAGUGUUAGUGCUCCCCUCACUUCCAGCUAUGAGUCCCAGUGCUCUGAUGGCUUCCGUGCUCCCCUCACUUCCGGUAAUGAGUGUUAGUGCUCUCCUCACUUCCGCCUUACUACGGGGUACAGGACCUGAGCCCAGGAAAGGGUGUCGUCCUCCUUCAGAGUGAAUCUUCUGACCGGAAUCAACCCAAUCUGGAUAAUCUCUCACAGUUCACUUAACACAUAUUUAUGGAGUACCUUCGACAUGAUCUACCAUCUUUGGACUGCCCCGUGCUAUUGAAGAGAGGAAGACAGGAAGUCCCAGUGCCCAAGAUUACACACAGACGGAGACUAAACGGGCAGUUAAGACCCAGUCCUGAUUGCUGAGUAGAUAUUUCCUUGGAACUGAAGCAUAUGCCCACCUCCACCCCAACUCGAACAGAGGCUUGUUAAGGAAAUAAACAAAACUUCUGAGUUUCAAGAAGCUAUGGAAAUUCACAAGAGGGGCCCUCCCUUCCCAACACCAUAUAAGGAGUG